GAAAAGGGAAAUGGCAGCAAUCAUGCCCAAUUGAGUGUCCCAUGAUGUCAGCCGCGGCGGCUGCGCGCUCAGGAAGCGCCCGGCGAAGCUUCGCAGGUGUGGCGGCGGUGGCAGCGCUGUGGUGCCGAUUAAGACCUCAGCAGCGGUGGCGGCGGCGCCCUGACAGCACCACAAUUGCUUGCACCUGUUUCCCUGCAUGACGCGCGGGUCUGGAACGGAUUACCCUGCCUGCUGCUGGACACAUUUCCACCUCUCUGCACCCUGAGGGACUCCAGCAGCAUCUCUGCUGAAGGUCAGGCAACUAUCCUAAGGACCAGGAAAAGGCGGAGAGAGAACUUGCUGCCUGGUUUUGCUUUGCUGAAAGAUUUCAGUUGCUGUGGUGAUUCGAUAAGGACUCACUGGCUUCAGCAACAGCUUGCUCCUCUGCUCUGCAGAAGCCAGGUACUGCCUGAAAGCCCAACAGCCAGACAUCAUCCUGACCCUACCUCCAGAAACAGGCAUGGCCUUGAUCUCCCGUGCAUCGAAAUGACCUCUUCUUUCCACAGGGUUCGUAAAGGAACUUUGGAGAGCUUGUGGUCAGCUGUGGAGUACAGGGGAGCUGCUUCUGAUCAGCCGCUUGUGACUCUGGUAGCAGUGGAAGUAAAGGUAAAGCAGCUCAGAUCUUCUCCUCAAGGGCAGCUCAGAGCCUGGGAUACCUUCAGUAGAAGCAGUGUUGGUCCAGAAAGGACCUUCUCUGGAGAAGGAGAAACAGUCAAGCAGUGUGGUGUACCCAGCGCAGUGGCUAUAGUGCUGGUGGUGUGGCUGGCAAUGAAAAGACAAACCAGGGCCAAACAUCUCAGAGGGAGUGGGUCACAGGUAUCACAUCAUUUUCUUGUGCAGCACCAAAGAAAACAACUUAAUGGAAAUUCUAAUAAUUUACUUUUUUUUCUGCUGAGUGAUGCUGCUGCCUCUCACAUCCCAAAUAAAUUCCUUUAGCACAUCUUGGCCCUGAGGAGCAAAGUUAGCCAGUAGGAAGCUUUUGUGGGGAUUUAUUUUUGAAACAAAAGUGGUUUAUAUGUAGCUGCUGCUGAUUGUUACCCAGAGUCGUUAUUUCACAAACAUUAGUGAAGUAAGAGAGUCACAGGAACGGGACAGACAUGAACUGCAGCAUGAGGUCAGAUUACACAGAUAAAAUGACAUGUAGAGGACUUCAGACUACCGAGACAUAGUUCUAGGAAAUAUUUUUUUACUGUUUAGAAAGCUGAACCCACUAUUAGUGUAUAAAGAAUUCCAUUUAUGGCCUGGCACAGGUGGAACAAAGAGAAGUGCACAAGCCAUUGAAGUACCUUUAUCUGUACCGUAAGCACUAGACUAGAACCUGGGCCACCAGCUCUCAUACAGGUAAAAUCCAUGGUUCAGUCAAUGAGAGUGAAAGCUAAGUUUUGAAAAACAUCUAUAACUUACAUGGCAUGUGUGUGUAUAUACCUACAUGUACACACACACUUUAAAUGUGCAGUGACACAAUACAAUGCAAGAAGUGAAUGCAGAGUGGCUGAACCUCCUCACAGAGAAAUGCUCUGUGCAGUAUCAGAGAAAGGAAAACCUUCUUGGGCUCUCCUACCGUUACAUCCUGCAGAACAUUUUCUUACAGUGACAGGGGAAGGGAACAAUGCAGCUCUGCCAAGAGCAGGAAGGCCACUCCGUGAGCGACAUUUUCUGGUACAGAGCUUGCCAACUCCCCAUGUGACCUUCUAUGCUGGGAGGGUGAAAUUUGGUCACUCAUUUGAAGUUUGGUCACUCAUUUGAAGUUUGGUCACUCAUUUGAAGCAGAGUGAUUGUUUCUGAGCUAUGACUUCUCUGGACUUCAUCCCAGGGUUUUCUGAUGCUGCCUGAGCACAGAAGGGGUAGGUGACACCUCCCAGGAACAUGCCCAGAGAGCACCCUUGGGAUGGGUGCAAAGUAGUUCAUUUAAGCAGGCAGAGCUGGUGAUGUGGGCUAGCUCUUCAGAGGUGGGAAGACUUGAAAGAAACAUUAAAAGACUAAUAUUCCAAAAUUCACCAAAAUUUGCCAAGUUCACUGUACAAGGACAUUUUGUUUGUGCCAGUGACCCUUCACACCCCGGGCAGUCGUGCCAGCUGUUGGGCUAUUAUCUGCGCACUGUCUACAGAACAUGCCAACAGACCUGCCAGGUGCGGAGGUGUGGAAGCAGAGCUGAGGCCAGGCGGACUCCGUGCUUUUGGCCCCAGACCCUCGGACUCCGUGCUUCUUCCACUUGGUCAGCGUUCCGAGGAUCCUGGGCAGCUCCCACGGAUCCCAGACAUCCCUUUCACAGCCUCAGCACCUUCUGAGCAGCUCCUCCAGAGGUCCGGUAGCACUCAGCCAUCAGCUGACCAUGCCCCUCUUUGAGUCUACGUUGGCCUGUGAGAGAGAAGUUUAUCACCCUGGAAUGACAUUGAGCCUACGUCUGUAUGUGCUACUGGUGUGGAAAUCCUUGGCAUCUCUAGACUCUGAGUGAUGCUGACACGAUGGCUGAACACCUUGUACCCAAGCUUUUAUGUGCUCUUAUUUUGGUUUAUGCUUUCCCUUUGUGUUUUGCCCCAUCUCUGGCUCUCACAGGAA